UACGGGGGGGGCAAGCGUUGUUCGGAAUUACUGGGCGUAAAGCGAGUGUAGGCGGUUUCGUAAGUCGGAUGUGAAAGCCCGGGGCUCAACCCCGGAACUGCCUUUAAGACUGCAUCGCUUGAAUCCAGGAGAGGUGAGUGGAAUUCCGAGUGUAGAGGUGAAAUUCGUAGAUAUUCGGAAGAACACCAGUGGCGAAGGCGGCUCACUGGACUGGUAUUGACGCUGAGGUGCGAAAGCGUGGGGAGCAAACAGG
rnacentral:rRNA from 1 species